rnacentral:rRNA from 1 species
GACGAACGCUGGCGGCGUGCUUAACACAUGCAAGUCGAACGGUAAGGCCCUUCGGGGUACACGAGUGGCGAACGGGUGAGUAACACGUGGGUGAUCUGCCCUGCACUUCGGGAUAAGCCUGGGAAACUGGGUCUGAUACCGGAUAGGACCACUGCCUGCAUGGGUGGUGGUGGAAAGCUUUUGCGGUGUGGGAUGGGCCCGCGGCCUAUCAGCUUGUUGGUGGGGUGAUGGCCUACCAAGGCGACGACGGGUAGCCGGCCUGAGAGGGUGACCGCCCCCACUGGGACUGAGAUACGGACCAGACUCCUACGGGAGGCAGCAGUGGGGAAUCUUGCACAAUGGGCGCAAGCCUGAUGCAGCGACGCCGCGUGAGGGAUGACGGCCUUCGGGUUGUAAACCUCUUUCAGCACCGACGAAGCGCAAGUGACGGUAGGUGCAGAAGAAGGACCGGCCAACUACGUGCCAGCCGCCGCAGUAA